GACGAACGCUGGCGGCGUGCUUAACACAUGCAAGUCGAACGGAAAGGCCCUGCUUUUGUGGGGUGCUCGAGUGGCGAACGGGUGAGUAACACGUGAGUAACCUGCCCUUGACUUUGGGAUAACUUCAGGAAACUGGGGCUAAUACCGGCUAGGAGCUCCUGCUGCAUGGUGGGGGUUGGAACGUUUCGGCGGUUGGGGAUGGACUCGCGGCUUAUCAGCUUGUUGGUGGGGUAGUGGCUUACCAAGGCUUUGACGGGUAGCCGGCCUGAGAGGGUGACCGGCCACAUGGGGACUGAGGUACGGCCCAGACUCCUACGGGAGGCAGCAGUGGGGAAUAUUGCACAAUGGGCGGAAGCCUGAUGCAGCAACGCCGCGUGCGGGAUGACGGCCUUCGGGUUGUAAACCGCUUUCGCCUGUGACGAAGCGUGAGUGACGGUAAUGGGUAAAGAAGCACCGGCUAACUACGUG
rnacentral:rRNA from 1 species